UACGGGGGGGGGCAAGCGUUGUUCGGAAUUACUGGGCGUAAAGGGCUCGUAGGCGGCCAACUAAGUCGGACGUGAAAUCCCCAGGCUCAACCUGGGAACUGCGUCCGAUACUGGAUGGCUUGAAUUCGGGAGAGGGAUGCAGAAUUCCAGGUGUAGCGGUGAAAUGCGUAGAUAUCAGGAGGAACACCGGUGGCGAAGGCGGGUCUCUGGGCCGAUACUGACGCUGAGGAGCGAAAGCGUGGGGAGCGAACAGG
rnacentral:rRNA from 1 species